rnacentral:rRNA from 1 species
GUUUGAUCAUGGCUCAGGAUGAACGCUGGUGGCGUGCUUAAUACAUGCAAGUCGAGCGGAGACGUUAUAGCAAUAUGAUGUCUUAGUGGCGAACGGGUGAGUAACGCGUUGGUGACCUGCCCCGAAGUGGGGGAUACCAGCUCGAAAGAGCUGCUAAUACCCCAUGUGGUCGCGAAGGUUAGAGACUUUGCGAUUAAAGGAGUAAUCCGCUUUGGGAGGGGCCUGCGUCCCAUCAGCUAGUUGGUAGGGUAAGAGCCUACCAAGGCGAGGACGGGUAGGGGACCUGAGAGGGUGACCCCCCACACGGGCACUGAGACACGGGCCCGACUCCUACGGGAGGCAGCAGUAAGGGAUAUUGCGACAAUGGGCGCAAGCCUGACGCAGCAACGCCGCGUGCGGGAUGACGGCCUUCGGGUUGUAAACCGCUUUUCUGGGGGAAGAGGCAGGACGGUACCUCAGGAAGAAGUCUCGGCUAACUACAUGCCAGCAGCCGCGGUAAAACGUAGGAGGCGAGUGUUAUCCGGAUUUACUGGGUGUAAAGCGCGAGCAGGCGGUUGUGCAAGUCAUGUGUGAAAGCGCUCAGGCUCAACCGGGCGAGGACGGGUGAAACUGCACAACUGGAGGCAGGUAGAGGCGGAUGGAAUUCCGGGUGUAGUGGUGAAAUGCGUAGAGAUCCGGAGGAACACCAGUGGCGAAGGCGGUCCGCUGGGCCUGGCCUGACGCUCAGACGCGAAAGCAUGGGGAGCGAACGGGAUUAGAGACCCCGGUAGUCCAUGCUGUAAACGAUGUGGACUAGGUGUGGCGGGGUGAAAGCCGCGGUGCCGCAGCUAACGUGAUAAGUCCACCACCUGGGGACUACGGCCGCAAGGUUAAAACUCAA